rnacentral:sRNA from 1 species
GUCGAGAUGGACCUUGAAGUCCUUGUCGCCGGAAGAACGGCUUG